rnacentral:rRNA from 1 species
UACGUAGGGUGCGAGCGUUAAUCGGAAUUACUGGGCGUAAAGCGUGCGCAGGCGGUUAUGCAAGACAGAUGUGAAAUCCCCGGGCUCAACCUGGGAACCGCGCUUGAGACUGGCACGCUAGAGUUCGGGAGAGGAUGGUGGAAUUCCCAGUGUAGAGGUGAAAUUCGUAGAUAUUGGGAAGAACACCGAUGGCGAAGGCGGCUCACUGGCCCGAUACUGACGCUGAGGUGCGAAAGCGUGGGGAGCAAACAGG